AAGCCCCUCUCUCCACACCCGGUCCCGCCGGUGGUGUUCCCUGGGCUCUUCGUCCGCGGGCUGUGCCAGGUUCCCCUUGUGCUCCCAGCUGUGGUAGGGGCCCCCGGGAGGGCGCCUUCGCUGGGUAGGCCGGUCGCCUUACUGGAACGUGUUUCUUCGUUGCCAGGUAAAGGAGAUUUUCUGUUCAUCCUUCCGUGGUGGGUCUUUAAAUCCCCCUGUGGUCAGAGAAUGUGCUCUGUUACUCGUACUGGGGUGUGCUCAGUGGCCCACCGCUCGCUUCCCUUCAGACGCUGGUGCCCGUGUGAAUGUGUGCGCAGGCAGAGUGCUGUGGGGUGGCCACGCGUCGCGUCCUGUGCGGGCCUGGAGGUGCAAGUGCUCUGCGUCCUGGCCUUUGGUUCCCGAACCGUCCCAUCGACGUUGAGAGUGCCACGGACGCCGUUCUGGGAGGGUUGCUGUGCUCCCGCCGGUGUGUCCUAAGGUCGGGUCUGCACCUGCAGGCUCCCUCUGUUUCUGGAGGAGUGACUUUCCUCACCAAAGCACCUGUGUCCCCGGUCCUGCUGUGAUGCCGCCACGGUGGCUGCAUCUGGUGACUGUCCCCUCCGGUUGGCUGUCCCCUCCAGGGUCCAGCACACCCUCUGUCUCCUGUUUGCGGCCACAGGCUGCAGUGUGUCUCGGGCGGUUGUCCUGUAGUCUGAAGGUGAUACCGUCUUUAUGAGCCACCGGUCCGGUUCCGUCGAUGCCGACGCUGGUGUGUGUGGUUUAAACGGGCCGCGCGCGUCGUAGGGGCAGUUUGCUUCUCCUGUUUUUUCUCCUUUGUUUCUUUCUCUCGGGUUUCUUCUCACUGUGAUUCCUUCUCCCCAGUUCUGGUUUUGGAAAGUGUUUCUACCUUCGUGAGUAGAGCAGCCCCCUUAGCACAUCGGCACCUGUCGUGAUGUGCCCUGGGGCCAUUGUCGCUGCCGGCAGAGGCUGGAAGCAGGACUUCAGGGGCCCUCCCCUUCCGUGGAACCGCACGACGUCUCCGUGUGACAGAAAGUGUUAGUGUACACUGAGACUCGUCCCCUUCCGUGGAACCGCACGACGUCUCCGUGUGACAGGAUGUGUUCACACUGAGAGUCCCCUUCCGUGGAACCGCACGACGUCUCCGUGUGACAGGAUGUGUUCACACUGAGACUCGUCCCUGCUUGCUUCUCUUUUCCUUUGUCUCUGACCUGCCUGGGUUGGGUCUCCUUCUCCGUGAAGAGUGUCUUUAUGUGUUUACUUUGGGGCUACCGGGGACAGGGUGCGGGUUUUAGUUUGUCGGGCAGUGUUUGCUUCACUGUGCAACGGCCCUUGUGACGUCUCGAGGGAGGGGUUUGCCGAGAGAACCCUGGGGUUACGGCUGUCGCCGUUGGGAGGUCCUGCCGCGCCGCUCCCGUGUUUGCAUCUCCCGUCCCUUCCCCUGAUGGCUCUCGGCGUGGCUCUCGCCUUUGCUUGUGUCCGGCGGCCGCGGGACCUGCCGGGCCUGGCCUCCCCUCCGCGCGUGCCCGGGGUCCUGUUCUCUCCCCCGCGGGGCUGCGCACGGGGGUGGCGAUGUGGCUGGGCCGCCUUCCUGUUCCGUCUUGAACUCUGUUCUCCCGCGCGGCUGCGCCCUCGCAGUCUGAGCGUGUCCCCACUGUCACGUCCCAUAAGCUAGGAUUCGAGCCGUAAGUGUAACCGCGGACCUCUUGGCAGCCACAGUCGCGCAGAUGAAAAGAACCAGGUGAAGUUGAUUUUUAGUACAUUUUAUUUAACCUCAUGUGGGAAAUCACUUCAGUGUUUUCAUCGUGUAACUAGCAUUAAAAAUACUAAUUAAGAUUUUGCCGAUUUCUUUUUGUUCUAAGUCUUCAAAAUGCUGUGUGUGUGACACGUCCACAGCCCCGUUCCAGGCUGGGCACAUAGCGGGUGCUCGGCCGGCGGGUGCUCGGGCAGCCUCUGUGUUGGACGGUGCAGACCCGGGGUGUGUCCGAUCCUGUCCUGGCUGAAGGACAGAGUGGUGCGAGUCGCAGUUCAAGUUGGAACACACAGCGGAGCCCGCACCGAAGUUGAGCGCAGCGCAGGGAGAGGUCCUGGUCUCGGUCCGUUCGAGCGCGCAGGAGGCCAGCGCAGCCGAGGACACACAGUGCCCUGCACACGGGUCGUUGCCGUCCGCGACCCCUCACACCUGUGGGGGGCCGGGUGACAGUGACCCGGCAUGUUUUCUACUUAGAGAUCCUUUCUUUUUAAGAUUUUAUUUAUCGUGUGGGGAGCAGAGAGAGGAGGACGAGCAGACUGGGCUCUGAGCGUGGAGCCCGGUGCGGCGCCCCCAUCCCGGGGCCUGAGGUCUCGGGCUGAGCCG